rnacentral:rRNA from 1 species
GACGAACGCUGGGCGGCGUGCUUAACACAUGCAAGUCGAGCGGUAAGGCCCUUUCGGGGGUACACGAGCGGCGAACGGGUGAGUAACACGUGGGUGACCUGCCCUCCAGCUCUGGGAUAAGCCUGGGAAACCGGGUCUAAUACCGGACUAUGACGUCCAUCGACGCAUGUUGUGGGGUGGAAAGCCUUGUGCGGCUGUGGAUGGGCCCGCGGCCUAUCAGCUUGUUGGUGGGGUGANGGCCUACCAAGGCGACGACGGGUAGCCGGCCUGAGA